ensembl:snoRNA SNORD36 Small nucleolar RNA SNORD36
UGGCAAUGAUGUAUGAAUUUCUUCACCUGAAAUUACCGUGGAGAGUAAAAUCCGAGCUUUUUAACACUGAGCCAC